UACGGAAGGCAGCAGUGGGGAAUAUUGCACAAUGGGCGAAAGCCUGAUGCAGCUAUGCCGCGUGUAUGAAGAAGGCCUUAGGGUUGUAAAGUACUUUCAUCGGGGAGGAAAAACAAAACUAAUAAUUUUAUUUCUUGACGUUACCCGAAAAAGAAGCACCGGCUAACUCCGUGCCAGCAGCCGCGGUAAUACGGAGGGUGCUAGCGUUAAUCAGAAUUACUGGGCGUAAAGAGCACGUAGGUGGUUUUUUUAAGUCAGAUGUGAAAUCCCUGGGCUUAACCUUAGGAACUGCAUUUUGAAACUGAAAUACUAGAGUAUCGUAGAGGGAGGUAGAAUUCUAGGUGUAGCGGUGAAAUGCGUAGAUAUCUGGAGGAAUACCUGUGGCGAAAGCGGCCUCCUAAACGAAUACUGACACUGAGGUGCGAAAGCGUGGGGAGCAAACGAGGGAUUAGAUACC
rnacentral:rRNA from 1 species